GCCAGUGUGUUGUAGUGAUUUGAGUGCUGAACUAUGACUCCAGACACCAGGGUUCAAUUCCCAGCAAAGGCA